rnacentral:rRNA from 1 species
UGAGUAACACGUGCUCAAUCUACCUUUUAGAUUGGAAUACCCAUUGGAAACAAUGGCUAAUGCCGGAUACGCAUGGAACCGCAUGGUUCCGUUGUGAAAGGCGCUGCAAGGCGCCACUAAAAGAUGAGGGUGCGGAACAUUAGUUAGUUGGUGAGGUAAUGGCCCACCAAGACUAUGAUGUUUAGCCGGGUCGAGAGACUGAACGGCCACAUUGGGACUGAGAUACGGCCCAAACUCCUACGGGAGGCAGCAGGA